rnacentral:lncRNA from 1 species
AUUAAUGCUAUGACAAGCCAGCAUCCUACAUGUUGGGUAUCAGCUUCAUAAGUAGGCAGAGGGAGAGUUGACAUGUCUGCAAUGUCUUAAUUUUGAUAUGAUCUGAUCGAUAUCUUAAAUUAUAUGCUAUUCUGGAUUUAGACAUAAGUUAUUACUGUAGUUCCCUCUGAUUUCGUUGUUUACUUUAGGGUCCAAGUCCAAAUAGAUAGUGGCUCUGGCUUUAUAUGAUGAAUUCCUUUGAUGACUUUUUAGCUAAAACAUCCUUCAAUUUACAGAAAUUUUUGGGUUCGUUCAAUCAAGUAUUUCAGGUAAAGGUUACUGGCUAUUUGGUUCCGCUGCCUACCUGAGUGUGUGUUUCUUUGUUUCUUUUGCCUCCUCUGUUGUUGUGCUUUGUAUAUAUUCGUCUUGUAGGUGUGACUAGAAUUGCUUCAAUCUGUUGCAGGUGCGCAUCUGUAAUGCUGCUUAAACUUUUGGUAGGUUUGGAAGUUGACGUUGAAGAGUGGUUGUGGUUUCAAAUCUGAUGUUCAUCCUUUAUCCUGCCUUUACAUAUAUAGCCUCCAACAGUGUACGAGCGGGAAAAGGAAAAAAGGUUUUUGUUGGUUUGGCUUUAGGAGGGGUGUAUAUAUGGAAAAAAAAGUUUCUCAGGCUCGUAUCAUAUAUAGCUGUGUUGUUGUUAAUGCAUUUUUCUACACGUUGUUAUUUGCUGUUAUAUUUUAUUAUAAAAAACAUUGCCCCUACUGUAACUAGGCAAUGUUUAAGUCUUGCAUUCACGAGCCAAGCAACUAUGAUUCCUACUAUAUGAUAUUAUAAAUUCAAUAAAAUUAUAUAAAAGUCAGUUCUAUGUUUGCUUUGAAUGGUCAUAGAUUAGUACAUUGAUGUAGUUUUUGUUUUUUAUAAAUGGAUUCAAACUGAA